AAGACUAUACUUUCAGGGAUCAUUUCUAUAGUUUGUUACUGGUGAAAUGUGCUUGAAAGUGUCUGAACUCCGUAUCCACGAGGAUGUGUUGUGCUGCUCUUUCCUGAGCGUGAAGUGAGUCCUCAGCGAUGCUGUGGCUGUUGAUGAUUGUUCUUCACUCUUUUAUAGGAGUGGAGGGAAAGAACACAAGCUGAGUGGU
rnacentral:snoRNA from 1 species